UUAAACCGGUUUGAACCAGUUUAAAUCUGGUUUAAACUGGUUUAAAUCUGGUUUAAAUCUGGUUUAAAUCUGGUUUAAACUGGUUUAAAUCUGGUUUAAACUGGUUCAAACCGGUUU